GAAAACACACAGAGAUGCGGUGCAGCGACAUUGCUGCUCUCCCUUUUCUCAAAGAAAUGACAGCAGAGUACGUGGAAGCUAUUUUAAGGGCCUGAUGCAGUCAUUGGAAGAGUAAAGAGGAAAUGUUAAUAGCGAAUCUAUUCAUUGGGCCAGUCAAUUGUAGGAACUUGGAGAUAAUUGACACUGUUCCAGCCCUGGGGAAAAUGAAAAUUCUGUUUCUUCUUCCGUUCUGGUGGAUUAAAUAAAUGCAGGGAGCAGCAGCUGGCCUCGGGAUAAUUAGAAGAGAAAUGAUUCAGGACAUAAAACUCGCCGACAUCUCUCAAGGGGCUGGGUUGAUUUUGACUAAUGUUGUCAUUGCUCAUGUUAAAAUGCAAAGCCUGGAGAACCGGGUAGACCUCCGUGUGGUGCCCACUGCCCGUCAGAGUGGGCCAGGAGGAGGGCACAGUGCACCAGCAUGAAGGCUGGGGCCGUCUGCCACAGUCAGAGAAUUUACCUAUUUUUUCCUAAACCAGCAAAACCCAUGGAUAUCAAAAAGGAACGUCUCUUGGGAACACGGUCUUCAGAGACAGCUUGGCUGAUCCUGCCGAGGGAAAAAUACACCCACCACAAACCCUCGUUUUUUUGCUCAUCAGACUCAAAACAACACUGAUAGGCAGGGGGAAAUCAGCAACGCAGGUUUGCUUGCACGCAGCGUGUCUGUGCCCGAGCAUGGCAGCUCGCUCUCAGCCUGUUGGGACAGUGGCUUCUUUAUAACAGCACCAAGCGGAUACCGAACUUUCUUCUUCUAUUGCUCUUUGACUUUACUAAACGGACCAUCUUGAUUACUUUGCUUUUAAAAAAAAAUCGUUUGCACCAGACCUGAGCUGCACUUUUGGAAGCCUUAAACAGAGGAGCCACUAGGUUCUGGGAGAACGUCCCCGACACUUGCUGGGAGGUGUGGCCGUGGGCCCAUGGCGGCUCCUCUGCCCACGUGGGUGACUAAUGGCAGUUGAGAAUGGGGGCUAGGGCGGUAGGGAUCAGAACCAAGCCUUGUCAGUGGAGAGGCAUGCUGAUUUCAAGCCACAGGAAGUGAUCUAGAAAGAGCUUUCCAGACAUGGCCUACAUGGGCAGACUCAUAGAUCUUUCAACGGGCUGACCAACUUCUCUGUCCAUCUUAGCGAGUAAACUGACGGAUGGAAGGUUGGCGGGCAAUCCCGUCAGGGCGCCUGCAGCUACACACUGAUUCGACUGUGGCAGUGCCCGCGCUCCUGGCCCUCCUUUGAGCAGCACCAAGGUCCCUGUGGUUGGCUAGCUUGGGCUUCCUCACAGCAUGGUGGUCUCAGAAGAGUCAGAGCUAACAUGGUGAAGCAGCUUCAAGCUUCCAGAGUUACCGCUCCCACGACAGGUAGAAGACGGUGGCUUCCAACAUGCGAGGUGGGCACCAUUCUGACGCCCCCUUCCUCCUACAACCCCUUGGGCCUCAGUGUCUGAACAACACUUGCUGAACCUCCUAAGCGCCUCAGGCAUUCACCUCUGCUCUGCCACGUGCCACCAUCCCUCAGAGAGGGACAGGUAAGAGUGCUGGGCCUAUCCCCCUGAGCUCCCCAAGCUCCUCAUCUUCCCGUGGCAGCUGUAAGGGGCGUUGAAGGGCACUCAGUGUCAUUAGCCUGCUUCCCAGAAUCCCCUGCAGCUAGGAUUCUGCCUGUGAAGCGGGGCCCAUCAGACACAGCUGCACAAGAUCAGAGGUGGCACGAGAGGGAGGAGGUACGUAUCCGUUUUCUAUGGCGGCUGCGGUAAAGGCCCACGAAUGCACCGGCUUAAAACACAACCCGCUCACAGUUCUGGAGGAGGGAGGGAGGGCGAACCGAGUUUCACUGACCAAUACAGAGGUGCGCUUCCUUCUGGAAUCUCCACAGGAGAACCCUCACCUUUCGGCUGCUGGAGGCCUCCCGCAUUCCUUCCCCUGUGUCCCUUCCUCCACCUCCAGGGCCACAGCGGUGCCCCUCCCUGGCUCCUCCUCCUUGGUCCUAUGGCUUCUCAGAGUCAGGCUGGGCCCAGGGGGAACCUAGGGUGCUGUCGAGUCCUGCACUGACCCUCCUGCCAAGCCCUCCGAUCACACAGGGAAGUGUACUUGUGGGCCCAGGGAUUAAGACACGGGCAUCCUGGGGGCAUUGCUUCUCUGCCCCCUGCUUCUCCCAUCAUCGCUGUCUCCAGCCACCAGCAUGGGGCGCCUGUUUUGUUUUUUCCUUCCCCGCUCGCCCCCGGCUGGCUGUUUCCCUACCAUGGUGGCCGCCCCUCACUCUGGAGCCAGGAGUGUCUCGAAUCACAGGCAGCUUCUGGACUGUAGAUUGGCCAGUUCCACCCUGGCCUUCCAAGUCCACCCUAGUGCCUUCAACCUACAGCGUUUCCUAGGCCUCCCUGACCCACCCAUUCUGCAGCCGUCUCCACUGAUCCCUUCUCUGCUGCGUGGAUUCUGCUCUGAAGAAUCUACGCUGAGGAUGAGGCGGCACCCGACGACGCUGAGUCUGACCGGACCUGGACUGACCGACCCAGACCUCUGUACUAUCAGGGCAUCUCAAUGUGGGGACGUACCAACUGGAAGAUAGAUGGUCCCAGCCAAGGCCAAGGUCACGUCUCCCAGAACAUCACACACAGCGAGACAGGGAAGUGAAAUGCCACACUGGAACUGGCCUCCCGAGGUGGCUCUCGCUCCAGGGGACUGUCAUUCUCAAUCACCCCUCCUCCUGGCAGCAGGAAGUACGGCUGCUCUUGAUCUGUGCUGCUUUUGUGUUUCUAGGGUUCUCUUCUCCCUCCUGCCCUCGCUCCCUUCCAAGAGUCCCAGAAGACAAGGACAGAAGGACACAAGCCCGGAGAAUGGCGAUAUUCUUCUAAUGUCCCUUGAGAAGGAACAGCUCACUUCCAGGGCUGGCGGUGAGGGCCAUGGCACCCAAACCCAGAGGUAAGGGACAAGCCCAAGAGGGAGCUGGAGGACCUUCUCCACACAAGGCCGUUCUGGGGUGGCCCUGUUCUGCCGUCACCAGCAGCUCUCCUGGCUCACAGCCUGCCCCAGGGCCUUCCCUGCCAGGCACGCCUCCGCCCCGUCCUGACCUUUCCCACCUGCAAUCUCGCUCCAACCCACCUCUGAAGACUGCCCAGGAGGGCGGCCUGCAAGCUCUGCGGGUGCAGGACAAGCUAAACAGGGCUCGGCACCGCAGGGAGCUCCCUGUCCUCCUGCCUUCCUGUCUGCCCCGGCCCCUUCCCUUCCACACGAGAGAAAGCACCACGGGUCCACCCACAGCCGUUCGCGUCCCCUGACCUUCCUCGGCUGUUUUCUCUAGGGUCAUGGUGUGUCCUCUUAUCUAAACCCAAACCUUCUGAGUGAAGGAGUCGCCAGGAAUGAUCACGCCGCAACAACAGGGAAUAUUUCCAGCCCAAGUGGGAUCAGUGUGCGGUGACGAACCCAAACCCAAACCGGGCCCCUUAACCGAGAGGGAAGAGGACUCGCGGGCUUCCAUAGUGGUUCGUUCAAGGUACAGGAAGUGGGGAGGGACUUGGUUCCAUUGAACCCACACACGAAGGCUUCCCUGUGCUUAAGUGACGAAUGUGUUGCUUCCAGAGACUGCCUGUGAGAAGAUGAUUUGGAAGUAGGCAGAAAGGGGGCCAGAGGAAGGGCUGCUUGGGUGGAAAUACUCCUAAUCAUCUCCUUUUCCAGACAGAUCUAAUAGUCGCCUCUUGGGGCGUCUGCAUGACAACUGCUUUGUGACACCGCUACACACCUAGGUUUGCCUUUGGGAACCAAUUAAGUGCGGAGGGGCCAUCCCUCCUGCUCCCCACCCCCACCCAGUCCUCUCCCCCAUUGUCUGUUUGGCUGGUAUUCUUUUCUGGUUGAAUGGCCACAAACACAAGCUGUCUAUCUCCCCCAGCUCUGGGAGCUCUGCUUGGCAGAAGAAAACCACCCUGGUAAAGGAGCUGUGCAUGAGCACAAGCCGCUCUUGGCCACCGGGGCACAGGAAGCCCCUUGGAAAGUCAGCUCUGCCUUGCCCUGAGGAGCACCCACUGUGCAGAUGAAAGGACUUUCGCUUCCACCACCACUUCCUCCCAAGAAAGCAAGAACCGGCUUUAGACUUCUGACUUCUUUUCAGAAUAACAACAAGACAGCUUUUGAUUUUUUCCAACACGUUGAAUGCAGUGACCUAUAAAGUAAAACACCGGCUGGCAAACUCUCCAACCCGAGAGCCUAUUGUCUGCGCGAUCACACCAUUUACGACGAAAUCGGAAAGUGAUACUGUUCACUGUCCACCGCUGUCCCUGGCUGUGUUUGGGUCCCUUGACAGAGGGAAGUUCCCUGAAUUCACCCUAAGUGUAACAGAAGUGGCUUGGUUGCAAUUGGAAAGGGCAUGUGGCUGCUAUGGCAGCUGCACUUUGGGGGUUUAUUAUGGUAACAAUGUUUCCAUUGCAGUGACCUCAGGUUUAGUGUGGGGCACCUGGCUGUCAUCAGCAGGGCCCCACUCCAUGAACUUCCAUACCUAAGCAUGGAAUUUGUAUGUAAGUUUAGCGACCAAGAUCUGUAGACAUAAGUAUUUCCUCCAUAGUCCCCUAGACUUCUCCAGGCCAGUCUUGAAAUGGGACAGGUCCCUUCUCUGCUGGAAAUAACCUCGUCAAUAACAAAGAA